UAUUGGACAAUGGGUGGAACCCUGAUCCAGCGACGCCGCGUGAGUGAAGAAGUAUCUCGCUAUGUAAAGCUCUAUCAGCAGGGAAGAAAGAAAUGAGGGUACCUGAGUAAGAAGCCCCGGCUAACUACGUGCCAGCAGCCGCGGUAAUACGUAGGGGGCAAGCGUUAUCCUGAAGUACUGGGUGUAAAGGGAGCGUAGACGGUGAUGUAAGUCUGGAGUGAAAGGCGGGGGCCCAACCCCCGGACUGCUCUGGAAACUAUGUGACUGGAGUGCAGGAGAGGUGAGCGGAAUUCCUAGUGUAGCGAUGAAAUGCGUAGAUAUUAGGAGGAACACCAGUGGCGAAGGCGGCUCACUGGACUGUAACUGACGUUGAGGCUCGAAAGCGUGGGGAGCA
rnacentral:rRNA from 1 species